AUGACAUUCCAAUUCUACUCUGGCGGGGUGAUGACCGGCUCCUGCGGUACUGACUUGGACCAUGGAAUUGCAGCCAUUGGAUAUGGAAAGACUAGUGAUGGCACAAGUUAUUGGUUGAUGAAGAAUUCAUGGGGCACAACUUGGGGCGAGAAUGGGUACUUGAGAAUGGAGAAGGACAUUGCAGACAAGAAGGAAUUCCAACUUCCCAAAAUGGCCUAA
rnacentral:rRNA from 1 species